rnacentral:rRNA from 1 species
ACGCGAGGAACCUUACCAGGUCUUGACAUCCCGCUGACCGGUCUGGAGACAGAUCUUCCCCUUCGGGGGCAGCGGUGACAGGUGGUGCAUGGUUGUCGUCAGCUCGUGUCGUGAGAUGUUGGGUUAAGUCCCGCAACGAGCGCAACCCUUGAUCUUAGUUGCCAGCAUUUAGUUGGGCACUCUAAGGUGACUGCCGGUGACAAACCGGAGGAAGGUGGGGAUGACGUCAAAUCAUCAUGCCCCUUAUGACCUGGGCUACACACGUGCUACAAUGGAUGGUACAAAGGGCUGCAAGACCGCGAGGUUUAGCCAAUCCCAUAAAACCAUUCUCAGUUCGGAUUGCAGGCUGCAACUCGCCUGCAUGAAGCUGGAAUCGCUAGUAAUCGCGGAUCAGCAUGCCGCGGUGAAUACGUUCCCGGGCCUUGCACACACCGCCCGU